CCCAGACACAGGGCAGCCUUCCUCUCAGAACAUCUUCUGCAUCCUGAAAGCCUCCAGUGGGCUCAUCCUUCCAGUUAAUGGACAGGAAAACUAAGACCAGUGAGGAAUCCCAAUGCUCAUCCUGCCAGGAUAGAAAGGAAAGCCCAGAGGGAUUGCAAAGAGUGCUGAAGAGCAGGGAUUCGCUGUGUGGGGACAGCUCGUGCUUUGUGUUUCAGGACAGGGAACUCAGGAGUGCAAACCUCAGUCAGGUGCAGUCCAGAGCCUGUCUUGAGCAUAAUGGCUGCUCUGCUCUGCCCCCGACCCUCAUCACCUCCAGCGGGGUUCAUCAUCCCAGUUUAUGGACAGAAAAACUAAGACUAGAGGGGGAGGGCUUAGCUCCUGCUCAGAGCAGACCUUCAACUCCUUCACCUGCCUGGACCUGGCACCCUCCCAAGAGACUGCAACCAAGGUUACGAAAAUAGCAUCUACUCACCAUCCUUCCUCAGCACACCCCCAACCAAUCCACCCCCUCAGUCCCACCCGUCUCAAGGAGACUGAGCCCCGAGAAGCACAGCCUCCUGCACCUCCUCACCUCCCAGCCUGCUUUCCUGGUCUAUCUGCAAUGUCCUCAAGUCCUUUCCCGUCCUCCUCAUCCAAACUCCAAGAUCUGCCUCACCUCACCCUCCUCCAGGAAGCCCCCUUCAUGGCCUGGGUUCACUCCCUGUCGUGACCGUCCGCCCUCACCAGCACAGCACCAAGCCUUGCAAUGCUCUCUAGUAGUUAUUUCCUGCACAGAGAAGGGGUGAGGGAAGCAUCAUUUCUGCCUAUCCCUGUUCACACGCAAGGCUGGCUCUGCCUUCCCAGGGACCGUUCUGCAGAGGGAGACUGCUCAUCAGGCAGGUACCACCUCCAGGGAUCUCACUAACGUAGAACUGAUGGGCCUCAGUUCUGUUCAGAGAACAGCUAUACAGGCUGGAGGCCUCCAAGAAACAGUUUCCAUUUUCCCUGUGGAGUCUGUAUGGGUGUAUACUGUACAGGGUAUAGGCUGUAUGGAGUCUGCAGGUAAACGUGCCUGUGUGUCAAAGAAUGAGCAUGUGUGUGUGUGCAUGUGUCAGCAUGAGAAUGCCUCUGUGUUUGUGAGUGUGAGAGGGUCAUAUAGGUGCAGGAUUCUGUUGAUGGAGAGUCAAACUCUGUAAAAAAAAAUUUUUUUUUCUUUAGAUGGAAUCUCACUCUGUCGCCCAGGCUGGAGUGUAGUGGCGCGAUCUCGGCUCACUGCAACCUCCACCUCCUGGGUUCAAGCAAUCCUCCCUGCCUCAGCCUCCCGAGUAGCUGCAAUUACAGGCACCUGCCACCAUGCUCAACUAAUUUUUGUAUUUUUUAGUAGAGACUGGGUUUUCGUCAUGUUAGUCAGGCUGGUCUUGAACUCCUGACCUCAUGUGAUCCACCCGCCUCGGCCUCCCAAAGUGUUGGGAUUACAGGCAUGAGCCACUGCACCCAGCCUGUAAAAUAUUUUAAGAGAUUUAUUCUGAGCCAAAUAUGAGUGACCGUGGCCUGUGACACAGCCCUCAGGAGGUCCUGAGAAUAUGUGCCCAAGGUGGUCGGGGUACAGCUUGGUUUUAUAUAUUUUAGGAAGAUAUGAGACAUCAAUCAAAUACAUUUAAGAAAUACAUUGAUUUGGUUCAGAAAGGCAGAACAACUCAAAGCGGGGGGGUUCCAGGCUAUAGGUAAAUUUAAACAUUUUCUGGUUGACAAUUGUUUGAGUUUGUCUAAAGACCUGGGAUCGAUAGAAAGGAAUGUUCAGUUUAAAGAUAAAGGAUUAUAGAGACCAAGUUUUAUUGUGCAGAGGAAGCUCUCAGAUAGCAAACUUCAGACAGAGCAAGUUGUAAAUUGUUUCUUAUCGGACUUAAAAGGGUGCCUGGCUCUUCCUUAGUUGAUUAUCUCCUGGAUCUGGAAAGAAAGGAAGGAAAACAAAGGCGGAAGGGGAAUUGCUAUAGAAUGUGGAUUUUUCCCACAAGAGACUUUGCAGGGCAAUUUCAAGGUAUGGCAAGGAAAUAUAUUUUGGGGUUAAAUAUUUUUUUCCUUGUCUCAUAAUGUUAUGCCAGAGUCUGAUUGAAAAGUAAAUCACAACAUAUAGGGUCAAAUAAAACCCAUCUGAUGAGAAUGUGUGGUUUGUAGGUCCUGACUUCCUAGACCUCUUAGGUAGGAAUUUGGGUAAGACAAAAUAUCAGACUUAGUCCUCAAUUCCUAAUGCAAAGUUCUGAGAUCCAAAAUGCUCCAAAAUCUAAAACAUUUUUUAGCACCGACAUAAUGCCACAAGUGGAAAAUUCCACACUUGCUUCAAUGUGCACAAACUUUGUUUCAUGCAUAAAAUUAUUUAAAAUAUUGUAUAAAA
rnacentral:lncRNA from 1 species